AUAGCCAUGUACGUGUAGACACGUCCAGUGUAUUUUUGACCAGCAUAAAUCAUGGGAGAGAUGCUUUUCCCUGUUCAGAAGCGUCCAGUGCUACAUAUUCCUGUAAGUGUUUGCACUUUCUAUGCCUCCUUUCUUGUGUCUUUCUCUUUCCAUGCUAACAGACUAUUCUCUUCCAAACAACAGAAGUAAGGUUUAUGAUAUGGAGAACACAGGCAUGUGGGAAUGUACUUAACUACUCAUAGUUUCUGAUCCAUUAGAAUUUUUGAGCUAACAUGGUGCUCCUCCCGCUUCCCAUGUCCAGGAAAUUUUGUAAAAAUGCAUCACCUUCAGGCUGGUAAACUGUUUACAGUUUACAAGGAUGAAAGAGCUGGAAAAACAACCCUGGUUUGUUCAGUCAUGAACCUUGGAAUAAAUAGCUGAAUUUCCUAUCAUGUUUAAAUGAGAAUAGGCAAAAUAUGAGCAAAUUUUCCACUUUUAGCAUCAGAACAUGGUUAAAUGAAAGCUCCAUCUGAUUUUCUGUGAAUUUGUUUCUGCAACAAAUCCCUGGCCUUUAGUUUUUGACUGCAUUAUUUCCAUUUUCCUUUCAAGAUUACUGGCGGAAAGGAGGCAGUGAAAACCGGCACAUGCUGAGGAUAAGGAUGGAUCAAUACAUGCAGCUAGGGUAGGUGAAGCAGACAACGACUGGUACAGGCGAGACAAGAGACCUCAAUAAUCAACACAGCUCGGUACACUCUGAAACUCCAGUGCAGACACCAAUAAUACAUGUGGCCCAUUUCAAACCGUGCCCCCAGAUGUCGGUCCCGGUGAUACCCUUUGAUCCCUGACAGCUGAAAAUGUACUAUUACCCUACAUAACUUCUCUGUAAUCUCUCACACAAAAAAAUGAAUAGUAGCUUCCUGCAAUGCAUUGAAACUAGCUAAGUGGCUCUCACAGUGAAAGCCACCGCAAAAAUUUAUCAACCUUCGUCAAGAGAUACCCCUACGUAAUAAUAGCUGACAAUAAUUUAUCAUUCCA
rnacentral:lncRNA from 1 species